AUCUCUAUAAAACCCCAAAGGUCAGUCGCCUUCUCUCACAACAAUCUCUUUUCCAGUUCGUCUAUCUCAAACCCUAAUUGAAAAAUCGCCUAACUUUUAUGCUCCCUUUCAGCGUUUGUUCAGCCUUGUAUGAAUGAAUGAAUCAGCCCUUUCAGAUCUAAUACCCAAAUUUUAAUUUUUAUUUGGGGCAAGAAUUUCUGCACUUAUGUGUGAGAUUUGCACGUAGCCUCCCGGGCUCCUCUGAAAAUUUAUAGCUGAAGAAAGAAGCCCCAAUGCUCGUGCAAAAUCGAUGCCGUCAAGUGUUGCAGAUUUGUCGCGCUAGGAUGCAGCAAUCUGUGGGCUCAAGCCAAAGUUGUUACUUUUGCUUAAAGUGCAUUUCAGACUAUUGGGAGAGUAAUGGGUUUACAAGUAUGAAACGAAGGAUAUGAGCUUGAUAGGAACAAGGCUAGAUUUUGUGAUGCAACAUUUCAAACAUAAUAUGUGUAUGUGUCCUACAAUUAAACUUAAUCCCAAUACAUUUAUGAAUGGA